AUUCCUCUACUGAUUUUUGUGGGAACCGAGGGACGAAGAAAGCUAAGUUGGGUCUGUUUAUGGAUUGCAGUGGAAGCGCUCAAGGCAAAGAUCGAAAAAAAACGAAUCAAACUUGCUGAGACGUGAUCCCGCUUUUCAGAUUCGUCUGAAAUAGCGCCUAUGACGUUAUGCUUCCUAGAAAAGCUCGUACACCAUUUUUCAUUUGAAAAAAAACACAAAAGUCACCUGUACCUGAAACCGACACAGGUAGGUUGGUAGAGAAUACCAAGGGGCGCGAGAGAACUCUCUCUAAGGAACUCGGCAAACUAGCCCCGUAACUUCGGAAGAAGGGGUGCCCCCUCACAGGGGGGUCGCAGUGAAAAGAUUCAUGGAACUGUUUAUCAAAAACACAGGUCUCCGCAAAGUCGUAAGACAAUAUAUGGGGGCUGACGCCUGCCCAGUGCCGGAAGGUCAAGGAAGUUGGUUAGAAACCUCGGUUUUGAAGCUGACGACCGAAGCCCCGGUGAACGGCGGCCGUAACUAUGACGGUCCUAAGGUAGCGAAAUUCAUUGUCGAGUAAGUUUCGACCUGCACGAAAGGCGUAAUCAUAUGAAUGCUGUCUCGGAGAGAGACUCGGUGAAAUAGACUUGUCCGUGAAGAUGCGGACUACUAAUACCCGGACAGAAAGACCCUAUGAAGCUUGACUGUAUCUUGGAAUUGGGUUCGGGCUUUUCUUGCGCAGACUAGGUGGGAGGCUAUGAAGAUUUUCUUCUGGGAAAGUUGGAGCCAACAGUGAGAGACCACUCUGGAAAGGCUAGAAUCCUAAUGGUGAUCCUUGAAUCAGGACACUUGACAGUUUCAGGUGGGCAGUUUUUCUGGGGCGGAAGCCUCAUAAAAGGUAACUGAGGCGCGCAAAGGUCCCCUCAGUCUGGACGGAAAUCAGACAUUGAGUGUAAAGGCAAAAGGGGGCUUGACUGCAAGACCCACAAGUCGAGCAGGGGCGAAAGCUGGCCUUAGUGAUCCGACGGUGCCGUGUGGAAGGGCCGUCGCUCAACGAAUAAAAGUUACUCUAGGAUAACAGGCUGAUCUUCUCCAAGAGUUCACAUCGACGAGAAGGUUUGGCACCUCGAUGUCGGCUCAUCACAUCCUGGGGCUGUAGUAGGUCCCAAGGGUUGGGCUGUUCGCCCAUGAAAGUGGUACGUGAGCUGGGUUCAGAACGUCGUAAGACAGUUCGGUCCAUAUCCAGUAUUAGCGUUAGAAUAUUGAGGUCAAUCACUCAUAGUACGAGAGGACCUGUAGUGAACAUGCCAAUGGUGUACCUGUUAUUUUUCCAAAAGUAAACGCAGGGUAGCUAUGCAUGGAGUGAAUAAGUACUGAAUGCAUCUAAGUACGAAGUCCAGACCAAGAUGAGUAUUCUCUAUAAAGCCGCAGCAAGACAAGCUGUUUUGAUAGGUAUCAAGUGAAAGAUCAGUAAUGGUUUCAGCUGAGAUAUACUAAAGGCGAAUUGAUUUU
rnacentral:rRNA from 1 species